UGGGGAAUUUUGCACAAUGGGGGAAACCCUGAUGCAGCGACGCCGCGUGAUUUAGAAGGCCUUCGGGUUGUAAAAAUCUUUUCUAUGGGAAGAAAAUGACAGUACCAUAGGAAUAAGGACCGGCUUAUUACGUGCCAGCAGCCGCGGUAAUACGUAAGGUCCGAGCGUUGUCCGGAAUCAUUGGGCGUAAAGGGUACGUAGGCGGGUAAGCAAGUUAGAAGUGAAAUCCUGUAGCUCAACUACAGUAAGCUUUUAAAACUGCUCAUCUUGAGAUAUGGAAGGGAAAGUGGAAUUCCUAGUGUAGCGGUGAAAUGCGCAGAUAUUAGGAGGAAUACCGGUGGCGAAGGCGACUUUCUGGCCAUAAUCUGACGCUGAGGUACGAAAGCGUGGGUAGCAAACAGG
rnacentral:rRNA from 1 species